UCGUAACAAGGUUUCCGUAGGUGAACCUGCGGAAGGAUCAUUACUGAUUUGCUUAAUUGCACCACAUGUGUUUUUUAUUGAACAAAUUUCUUUGGUGGCGGGAGCAAUCCUACCGCCAGAGGUUAUAACUAAACCAAACUUUUUAUUUACAGUCAAACUUGAUUUAUUAUUACAAUAGUCAAAACUUUCAACAACGGAUCUCUUGGUUCUCGCAUCGAUGAAGAACGCAGCGAAAUGCGAUACGUAAUAUGAAUUGCAGAUAUUCGUGAAUCAUCGAAUCUUUGAACGCACAUUGCGCCCUUUGGUAUUCCAAAGGGCAUGCCUGUUUGAGCGUCAUUUCUCCCUCAAACCCCCGGGUUUGGUGUUGAGCAAUACGCUAGGUUUGUUUGAAAGAAUUUACGUGGAAACUUAUUUUAAGCGACUUAGGUUUAUCCAAAACGCUUAUUUUGCUAGUGGCCACCACAAUUUAUUUCAUAACUUUGACCUCAAAUCAGGUAGGACUACCCGCUGAACUUAAGCAUAUCAAUAAGCGGAGGAA
rnacentral:misc_RNA from 1 species